rnacentral:rRNA from 1 species
GACGAACGCUGGCGGCGUGCUUAACACAUGCAAGUCGAACGGAAAGGCCCUGCGUUUGUGGGGUGCUCGAGUGGCGAACGGGGGAGUAACACGUGAGUAACCUGCCCUUGACUUUGGGAUAACUUCAGGAAACUGGGGCUAAUACCGGAUAGGAGCUCCUGCUGCAUGGUGGGGGUUGGAAAGUUUCGGCGGUUGGGGAUGGACUCGCGGCUGAUCAGCUUGUUGGUGGGGUAGUGGCUUACCAAGGCUUUGACCGGUAGCCGGCCUGAGAGGGUGACCGGCGACAUUGGGACUGCGGUACGGCGCAGAGUGCAACGGGAGGCAGCAGUGGGGAAUAUUGCACAGUGGGCGGAAGCCUGAUGCAGCAACGCCGCGUGCGGGAUGACGGCCUUCGGGUUGUAAACCGCUUUCGCCUGUGACGAAGCGUGAGUGACGGUAAUGGGUAAAGAAGCACCGGCUAACUACGUG